GACGAACCGUGCGAGCGUUGUUCGGAGUCACUGGGCUUAAAGGGCGCGUAGGCGGGCGAUCAAGUCAGGUGUGAAAUUUUUCGGCCUAACUGUAAAAGUGCCCCUGAUACUGGACAUCUCGAGGUAGGGACAGGAGGGUGGAACUGUCGGUGGAGCGGUGAAAUGCGUAGAUAUCGGAAGGAACGCCGGUGGUGAAAGCGAACCGCUGGACCUAUACUGACGAUGAGGCGCGAAAGCCAGGGGAGCAAACGGG
rnacentral:rRNA from 1 species